UACGUAGGGAGCAAGCGUUGUCCGGAAUCAUUGGGCGUAAAGCGCGCGUAGGCGGCCCUGUAAGUCCGUUGUGAAAGUCAAAGGCUCAACCUUUGAAAGCCGAUGGAUACUGCAGGGCUAGAGUCCGGAAGAGGAGAGUGGAAUUCCUGGUGUAGCGGUGAAAUGCGCAGAUAUCAGGAAGAACACCCGUGGCGAAGGCGGCUCUCUGGUACGGAACUGACGCUGAGACGCGAAAGCGUGGGGAGCGAACAGG
rnacentral:rRNA from 1 species